AACGAACGCUGGCGGCAUGCCUAACACAUGCAAGUCGAACGAGACCUUCGGGUCUAGUGGCGCACGGGUGCGUAACGCGUGGGAACCUGCCCUUAGGUUCGGAAUAACUCCCCGAAAGGGGUGCUAAUACCGGAUAAUGUCUUCGGAGCAAAGAUUUAUCGCCUUUGGAUGGGCCCGCGUUGGAUUAGCUAGUUGGUAGGGUAAAAGCCUACCAAGGCGACGAUCCAUAGCUGGUCUGAGAGGAUAAUCAGCCACACUGGGACUGAGACACGGCCCAGACUCCUACGGGAGGCAGCAGUGGGGAAUAUUGGACAAUGGGCGAAAGCCUGAUCCAGCAAUGCCGCGUGAGUGAUGAAGGCCUUAGGGUUGUAAAGCUCUUUUACCCGGGAUGAUAAUGACAGUACCGGGAGAAUAAGCUCCGGCUAACUCCGUG
rnacentral:rRNA from 1 species